UACGGAGGGUGCAAGCGUUAUUCGGAUUCACUGGGUUUAAAGGGUGCGUAGGUGGGCUAGUAAGUCCGUGGUGAAAUCCCUGAGCUUAACUUGGGAACUGCCAUUGAUACUAUUAGUCUUGAAUAUCGUGGAGGUAAGCGGAAUAUGUCAUGUAGCGGUGAAAUGCUUAGAUAUGACAUAGAACACCAAUUGCGAAGGCAGCUUGCUACACGGUCAUUGACACUGAGGCACGAAAGCGUGGGGAGCAAACAGG
rnacentral:rRNA from 1 species